rnacentral:lncRNA from 1 species
ACUUCUAAUUCUUUGGCGACCUUUAGUCCUGCAAUCAGAGCUUCAUAUUCUGCUCCAUUAUUUAUUGCGGGAAACUUGAAGCGCAGUGCAUACUCUGUGACAAUUCCAUCUGGAUUGAUCAAGAUCAGGCCCGCGCCUGCACUUGACAUGUUGGAGGAACCAUCCAUGUAGAGGGCCCAAGAACCAUCAGGGAGAUCGGCUCUUUCCUCGGGGGAGUUCGGUCGGAGCCUUGGAUUAUCGGCUUCAUCUUGUUCAAGUUUGGCCUCCUCUGGGAUAGUACAUUCCACCACGAAGUUUGCUAAUAUCUGGGCUUUGAUCGCUGGCC